CAAUAGCGUAUAUUUAAGUUGUUGCAGUUAAAAAGCUCGUAGUCGGAUUUUGGCUGAGAACGAUCGGUCCGCCGUUAGGUGUGCACUGAUUGGUCUCAGCUUCCUGGUGAGGAGGUGUGCUUCACGGCCACUUAGUCACCGUGGUUACUUUGAAGAAAUUAGAGUGUUCAAAGCGGGCUUACGCUUGAAUAUAUUAGCAUGGAAUAACACCAUAGGACUCCUGUCCUAUUUCGUUGGUCUCGGGACGGGAGUAAUGAUUAAGAGGAACAGUUGGGGGCAUUCGUAUUUCAUUGUCAGAGGUGAAAUUCUUGGAUUUAUGAAAGACGAACUUCUGCGAAAGCAUUUGCCAAGGAUGUUUUCAUUGA
rnacentral:rRNA from 1 species